rnacentral:rRNA from 1 species
UAACACGUGGGGAACCUGCCCCAUAGUCUGGGAUACCACUUGGAAACAGGUGCUAAUACCGGAUAAGAAAGCGGAUCGCAUGAUCAGCUUUUAAAAGGCGGCGUAAGCUGUCGCUAUGGGAUGGCCCCGCGGUGCAUUAGCUAGUUGGUAAGGUAAAGGAUUACCAAGGCGAUGAUGCAUAGCCGAGUUGAGAGACUGAUCGGCCACAUUGGGACUGAGACACGGCCCAAACUCCUACGGGAGGCAGCAGUU